rnacentral:rRNA from 1 species
UCAACAUGAGAGUUUGAUCCUGGCUCAGAACGAACGCUGGCGGCAGGCUUAACACAUGCAAGUCGAG